UAAAUUCUUCACUCUUCACUUUCUCAGAUACUUUCCCUUUUCUUUUAUUUUCUUUAAGGUUAACUGCAUUAGUAAAACAAGGGGAUUAGAGGAUCUUAGAUGCAUUAUAUUUACUAAAAAUGGACUGUGUGAUGAUGUAAUCAGGUAUUUUCUUGCCAUGCGGUGUUACUGUUUUUAUGGAAAAUUCCAAAGCAUCUAUUCCUUGAAGGAUGAUGACAAAUUGCUCUCUAAGUCUUGGACUCGUUUCCAAAAAUGGACUGUGUGAUGAUGUAAUCAGGUUUGUUUUAUGGUUGUUUGUAUGUUAGUAGAUCAGGUUGAAUGUUGGAAUUCGUGUUCAGCCUACAAGAUCAGGUUUAAGAAUGCAUGUAUAUGCCCAAUCUGUAAAAGGGUCAGUGGAGCGUGGCACAUUUAUAGUUAAAUGAGUCAGAUACCUUGCACCUGAGUAUGCAGAGAAUGGCAUAGUUUCUGUAAGGACAGAUGUUUAUUCAUUUGGAAUUUUUCUGUUGCAACUGAUAUCAGGACGCAAUGUGAUCAAUGAAAAUCAAGAAGAGCAAAGCCAGUCUCUACUUCAAUGGGCAGAAGUGCUGAUCGAAAAGCUUUCAUUACAUGAACUGAUUAAUCCUUGUAUUGGAGAAUCCUACGACACAUACGAACUGUACCAUAUGGCUAGGACAAUGUACUUGUGUGUUAGGAGAAGGCUAGAAAUGCGCCCAUCCAUGAGAGAUGUAACUGAUUGAGACGUGGUACUUUGUUUUUUUUAUUUUUUGUGAUUUUUAGUUGCAAAAUGUCAAAUGUUAGUUUCUUGUUUGUAAACAAUGGUUUUCAUCUAAUCUAACAAUGAGGUGUAGCAGAAGACAUUCAUGUAAAGCCUUAUUAAUCUUUUAUAUUAAGCUAUAUUGGGAAGUGAGUUAAUGAAUUCAUGAAUCCAUACAUGUAGCAACUCAUGUUCAUGAAUUGAGAGUCUGUUGAAAAUCAAAUCAAUAAUUGAGCAUCCUGUUUUGUGCUUGAAGUUUGUCUCUGUCUGUAUAUUUGCAUUAGCAACAUCACUUGUAAUUUGUAAAUGGUCAUGGAAAACCAACAUCUGUCGAAAAAUUCGUUGACGGCUGGAUGGUAACAGUACCAUCGGUCUACACAAGUGACCCUGGCUAUGUUGAAAAAUUCGUUGUUCUUUUUUUUUUCUUUUUUUUUUUUUAACUGAAGAGUUUGAAGCUGAUUUCUAUCAUUUUGCAUAGUUACAUCAUAGCAAUUAGUUUUGCUGUUUUUUGGUCUGUGUUUCUAUUGUUAUCUCCUUCUUGACAUGCGGGAUAGUGGAAAACCACUUAGAAUCUCUUGAUUUGCGUGUGUUCUUUGAGUAGGUUGUGCAAGUGCGCAUUGCUUUUCUCACGCUUUUAAUGUCAAUUGCAGCCUCAUCUAAUUUUCUGAGUUGAGAUUGGAAAUAGGGAGCUAAAGUGAUCAUUAAAUGCUUCACAGCACAUUUCAAUUUAGUUCUGAUUUUAUGUUAAUUUUAGAAAGUUGAGAUAUUGUUGAGUGACUACAGAUUUUAUACUUUUGAGCAAAAAAUUUCAGACUAUAGAGACUUCUAUUCUUGUUUUCUUUUUUUCUGUUUUGGUCAAGUGUUCAUUCUUUUAGAGCUUAUCUUGGAAAGAACCACUAGUUUUGAUGUUGUUUUGGUUUUGGAAAUGGGAUGUAUGGCUUUUAUAGCUUCAAAAAGUUGGG